UACGUAGGGGGCAAGCGUUGUCCGGAUUUAUUGGGCGUAAAGAGCGUGUAGGCGGCCAGGCAGGUCCGCUGUGAAAACUCGAGGCUCAACCUCGAGAGGUCGGUGGAAACCGUUUGGCUAGAGUCCGGAAGAGGAGAGUGGAAUUCCCGGUGUAGCGGUGAAAUGCGCAGAUAUCAGGAAGAACACCCGUGGCUAAGGCGGCUCUCUAGUACGGUACUGACGCUGAGACGCGAAAGCGUGGGGAGCGAACAGG
rnacentral:rRNA from 1 species